GAGACCUACGGGACGCAGCAGUGGGGAAUUUUGCGCAAUGCUCGUAAGAGUGACGCAGCGACGCCGCGUGAGGGAUGAAGGUCUUCGGAUCGUAAACCUCUGUCAGCAGGGAAGAACGGUCACUGUGCUAAUCAGCAGUGAAUUGACGGUACCUGCAAAGGAGGCACCGGCUAACUCCGUGCCAGCAGCCGCGGUAAUACGGAGGGUGCGAGCGUUAAUCGGAAUUACUGGGCGUAAAGCGCUCGUAGGCGGUAUGUCAAGUCAAGGGUGAAAUCCCCGCGCUCAACGUGGGAACUGCCUUUGAA
rnacentral:rRNA from 1 species